rnacentral:rRNA from 1 species
UACGAAGGGGGCUAGCGUUGCUCGGAAUCACUGGGCGUAAAGGGUGCGUAGGCGGGUCUUUAAGUCAGGGGUGAAAUCCUGGAGCUCAACUCCAGAACUGCCUUUGAUACUGAAGAUCUUGAGUCCGGGAGAGGUAAGUGGAACUGCGAGUGUAGAGGUGAAAUUCGUAGAUAUUCGCAAGAACACCAGUGGCGAAGGCGGCUCACUGGCCCGGUACUGACGCUGAGGCACGAAAGCGUGGGGAGCAAACAGG